CAUAUUUUCAAUUUGGUAUAUAACAAAAUUAGUUGUGGGCAGUUAACACCACAAACUCGUAAAGAUCAUAAUUUGAAGUACGAAAUGUAGUGCGCGGACACACCUUCGAUUCUUCAAGCUGGAUUCCCACGUUUUGCAGCUCCGCGGAACGAAUCAAUCAUUUGCCUAGCCAGCUUUGGUCAAGGGGCUUAUGCGGGAUAUUGGCCGCGGGGCAGGCACACAGAAUCGCCCCUACUCCAUCCACACCCUCCACCCUCGCAAACAGUCGGCACAAUUGAAGGCAACUCCGAAUCGAUCCAUCCCAAAAUUGCCACGAUCACGAUUUGGAGGAAAUAUGUUCAACUGCAGCUCUGUCUGAGUCGCUUACAUAAAAGUAAUCAAAUCAACACCUUCAUCAACUCCUUUGGAUACGCUGAGCCCAAACCGCAGAAAAUGCCUUC